UGAGGGUUAUAAUCCCUAAGCGCGGCCGAAGGCUGCCUACGCAAAAAUGUGUUCUCUGCAAAAGGUGUUCAGCCGCUUUUCUUUGGCAGCACAGGUAGGAGAAUACGUAGUGAGGGUUAUAAUCCCUAGGGGCGGCCGAAGGCCGCCUACGCAAAAAGGAGUUGGACGCACAAAAACUUUUUUAAUAGAGUGACAGCAGCAAUUUACCUCAAUUUUAUUUUUAAUAGUGUGGCAACACUAGUUUUCCUCCGUCUUAUUUAUAUUAACUUCACGAGAUUGUUGUGCGGAUUUUCAACAUUGCAAUAUUCCAAUUUAAUACAGAAUUUCGUAAAAAUUUACACUUGAAACAUCACAAAUGUAUAAAAACUAAUGAAUACGUGUUCAGUUGAGUUCAUUUACUCCAUUUAUCUGCUUCAAAUUCAUCAAAACAUAGUGCGAAAAGUGCAAGUGUUUUUUGCGAAUAACUCUUUAAUGAAU